AUGGAGCAGUUGGAAAAUAAAAGACAGGAGAAGUAUGAAUCCGAACAUGAUCCCCUCCGUCCUCCUCCCACGACGCGCGUCACGGGAGAAACCCUAGCGCCGCCGCCGCCGGGACCCCCUCCUCCUCCCCUUCUCCCCUCCCCUGCCGCCGCCUGCGAGCAAGGCCGGGCGAAGCCCGGUCGGAUCCGGCGGUGUGGGGGGGGGGGUCUUCCCUUCACCGUGUGGCCGUGUGUGGCGCAGGAUGGCGUGGCUGGCGAAGGCGCGGUGCGAGCAGGGGGCACGACGGCGUGGCAUCUGAGUGUGGGGCGGCGACGCCUGGCUAGGUGCUCGUGCGGGUGGCUCUACGGCGGGGGGUGGCUGCGAUGUUGCCAACGGCCGCGUUUGUGCGCGCCCAGAUCUGGCAGCGGCUGCGCCCGCGGGUUGCACUGGCUCAGUUGUUUCCUGGGUGGCUCGGCACGCGCGGGAGCUCGGCAGGCAGCGGCUUGGGUCGCCGCUACACCUCGCCGUCCGGCUGUGUGGUCACUGGUGGUGGAUAGCGGCCGCUGGUGA
rnacentral:rRNA from 1 species